ensembl:lncRNA
AAAAAACUAAUAAUCAGGCCAGCUGAAAAAUUAAAUGUAAUCAGAUAUGAAUCUAGACUUGUGGUAAAAGUCAAUUUAAACGAUUGUUUAUGAACGAUCGUUCAUGAAAAAAAAAAUGGGUUAUGAUGAAAAAAUGAUUAUUUAUCCCAAUAUGUGCUAAAUGUGAACGAAUUUUAUACAGGCGUAUCUAAAGUCAACUCUCAGAUAACGCGUCAUCAAGUAGCCUACCGAAGUUACCGACGCCAUUUUGGCUCAAACAAACUCCAUUUCACUUACUAGUAAAACAUAUUCGUCUUUUAAAAAAUCGCAUUUUAUACACAAUGCAUUAAAGAGACCGCCGUAAAGUCACUGCGUGCGUCUGCUAAAAUAACUGCUGUAUCUUUUUCUGAAUUGUAAAGUAUUUUUAAUAAUACUGCUUCUAAGUCCUGUGCUAGCAGUCCGCUACGUGUCACCGUUGUUGUGCCCAGAUGAUAAGUUAAACAUCUGGCGAAUGUAAAUAAAAAUGGGUGGAUGCUCCGCUCCAAACUGCUCGAACUCUACAACCAUUGGAAAGCAGCUCUUUCGCUUUCCGAAAGACCCCGUGCGCAUGAGAAAGUGGCUGGUAAACUGUCGGCGUGAUUUUGUACCCACUCCCUGCUCCAGACUGUGCCAGGCAAGUGAACCGCAUGCGAGUGUUAAAUUCUGCAAAAGACAACAAUGAAGUCAUUCUUCUGGCUUCCUUUUUUGUGUAAUCGUAUAUGUGUGCUUUUAUCACAAAGCUUCAUUUCCUUGACUUGCAGGACCACUUUGAAGAAAGCCAGUUUGAGGAGAUCGCCAGAUCACCAGCAGGGGGAAGGAAACUCAAACCCAACGCUAUCCCCACACUCUUCAAUGUACCCGACCCUCCCUCUCCUGUCACCCCCCAAGCAGUGUUACCUGUUAAAAAUGAGCCAGUAGAAAAGGACUUGAACAUGGGGGAUCAUGGAUAUGCCCGCCGACAGCCACCUGUGGAUUCAGAGGAGGAUGGGGUUCAGCGGACAGAUGAGGAGCGACCCUGUUCUCUCUGCCAGCAUUAUAAAACCAAACUGGAGCAGCAACAGCAACACACAGUCAGACUACAGAGAGAGGUAACAUUCAUUCUAAUAAAUCAUAAUCGAUUGGACAUAUUAGCGAUCGAAAGCACAUUUUGUCAUUUCUUUGUUACACAGGCAGAGGAGAUGAAGAAACGUCUUUACAAACUGAGUAAAAUAGAGAAGGGGCUACAGGUGUUCCUGUUUGAGGAUCAGAUACGCGCCCUAACAUUGGCCAAGCGUUCUCGGAGGGCAGUGUGGUCCCAUGAUACUUUACUGACAGCCCGUAAAAUCCGCUGCGCAGUGGGGGUUAAAGGAUACGAGUACCUAAGGGAACUGGGCUACCCUUUGCCUUCUUACAGGACGCUGUGUAAUCGCCUGGAGCCCAAAAUGAUGGUGACCACGAGUAUGCAGGACGAACUAGCAGAGCUCGGCCUGGGCAUCAUAACAGCUUGUGACAGUCCAGAGGGCAACGUGACGAGUGAUGAACGACUGAUUGGAGUCAUGACCUGAGACACUGUGUUUGCAAGAAACUGCACUGAUGCUUGACUGUUAAAUCAGCCAAAGCCGGGACUCGCAGGAGAUGUGUGUUUACUGGGUUAAGUUAUUUGGGGUUGUUGUCAUUGCAUUUUGAAACCAUUUGCAUAAAUACCACAACAGUCUGGAGAUGAUUCACUAACUAUUAUGUGUUUUUUUUGUUUUAACAAAAAUAAAUAUUUUGGUCUUGCUGCA